UAGCCAAGGACAACUUGCC
rnacentral:snRNA from 1 species